CACAGGGGGUGCAAGCGUUGUUCGGAAUUACUGGGCGUAAAGGGCGCGUAGGCGGUCUUGUCAGUCAGGCGUGAAAGCCCUGGGCUCAACCUGGGAUGUGCGCUUGAUACUGCAAGGCUUGAGUGCAGGAGAGGAUGGUGGAAUUCCCAGUGUAGAGGUGAAAUUCGUAGAUAUUGGGAAGAACACCGGUGGCGAAAGCGGCUUCCUGGUCCAGCACCGACAUUCAGGCACGAAAGCGUGGGGAGCAAAC
rnacentral:rRNA from 1 species